UACGGAGGAUGCAAGCGUUAUCCGGAAUGAUUGGGCGUAAAGCGUCCGCAGGUGGCUGUGUAAGUCUGCUGUUAAAGAGUGAGGCUCAACCUCAUAAAGGCAGUGGAAACUACAUGGCUAGAGUGCGUUCGGGGCAGAGGGAAUUCCUGGUGUAGCGGUGAAAUGCGUAGAGAUCAGGAAGAACACCGGUGGCGAAAGCGUUCUGCUAGACCUGUACUGACACUGAGGGACGAAAGCUAGGGGAGCGAAUGGG
rnacentral:rRNA from 1 species